rnacentral:lncRNA from 1 species
GGUCUGAGGACUCGCAGGGCCAGACCGGAUGGAGGGUGGGGGCAGGAGACACCGGCUGCAGGGCGGAGCUGGCUCUCCAGCCCUUCGGGGGGAGGAGGUAGCAAGGAGCAGGGCUGCUCAGGCAGGGCGUCCCCAGACCAGCCCUUGUGGCUCUCACCCAGGGCAGGGCGUCCCCAGGCAGCCCCCAGGGAGAGCCGCACUGGCUGGCACUGGCUGUACCUCGGUUAUUCUGUGGACGAUACAUGCGUCGGGGCUGAAAAGAGGCACCACACCCAACUCGGUGCAAUAAAUAAAACUUUUAUUCAAACAACUGCAGCACAGGGCACAAUUAAGAUUAAAAAAAAAAAAAAAAANAAAGAGGAAAAGAAACAAGUAUUUUCAGCGCUUUACGUCUUCACACAGCCGCGGUUUUGUGUCUACGUCCUUCCACUGCGCGUGGAAUCCCUGGGUUUGAGGUCUCUCAGCAGAGCUAGAACGCCGACGCAGAAGGUUCUUUUUACACAGGUCCGUGCUCUGGCUUGUUUUUCCCUUAGUUAUAAAACGGGCUCUGCCUGGAGCUGCUCUCCUCACAAACGCUACCAGCCACGUCCGAGCCCACGGGAGGGGCGGGAGGCUUUUGCGAAGUCACACCAGAAAGAGGAGCAUCUGAAGUUUCGCGGGGCCGCGCCCUCGCUCCCUUCCCAGGGUCAGGGUGUGGAGACGCAAGGCCAGGGGCUGCUCCGAAGCCGCCGAGACACAGGGGACACGAGCGCGCCGAUGGAGGGGGCAGGGACCACCUGCGCCACUGGGCCAGCCUCGUGCCCCUGCCCCGUGCAGCUGAGACUCCAUCACAGGCUGGUUAAAGAAACAUUUCCAGAACUCGUAGGCUUGGGGCUGGUCUCUGGAGGUCCUUGGAAUGUCCGAGUGUGGCCAGACCCCUCCACGCCAGUUCACCGUGUGGUCACUGUGCCCCAAGGCUGGCGCCGCGCUCUGUCUGUACACUGUCAGACGGCGUCGGGGCAGCAGGCCCUCCGGAGCCCGGCCUGGGCGGCGGGCAGGGCCGGGCCGGGGCUGCGGCCUCCCUCACAGGAGCGGCCAGCUUCCUCAGGAGGCUUCCCGGGCUCAGCCGAACCCCUCUCUGGGCGCGGCCCUGGAAGGGUGCCCCCCGCACUCCGCCCAUCCCGACAGGUGCCAGCGUGUGCUGGGGGAUCAGAUGCAGAGAUAACAGUACGUACACCGGAGUCCAUGCAGAUCUGUUUUUUUUCAGGAAAAGUUCUUUUCCCGUUUUUCUUUUUUUUU